UUCUGGAGUGACAGAAACAGCUGUAAUGCUGAAACUAGUUUUGAAGUGUGGCUACGGUGCCAGAAGGAAAACUUUCGAGCAAAGGCAUAUUCUGCUACUGCUAAAGAAGUUCCCUUGGGAAACCCAUGGCAUUGGGAGUUGGAAUAUGAAUGUGAGAGAUAUCUUUCUGCCUAUAUUGACAUGUUGCGAGUGCUGGAUGAAACUGAUCAUUUUGCGGAGCACAUUGACGUGGACAAGGAAAGUCUCUUUCAGAAAUUGAGUCCUGACUUGAGAUCUAACUAUGCGAUCAACAGCUGUGCGCACCUUAUAUGAUGAUCUCAUUUAGACAAGAACGAAAAUUCUAUUCGAUGUCUGCUGUGAUACGUAACAGAAAAAUCCGCAAUCUUUUUCACAAACUGAUUAAGCUUAAACCUUACAUUAAGGUAUUUUUUUCUCAAUUCUUGCAUUUUUAUGCUAAUAAGUUAGAGAACUAUCAUUUUUAUCCUGGUAACUUUCAGGGAUCUGAUCGUG